GUCUUUAAAAUUCCACUGACCUGUGCUCGCUUCGGCAGCACACAUACUAAGAUUAUCACAGCCCCUGUGCAAGGAUGACACGCAAGUUCGUGAAGUGUUCCAUAUUUAA